rnacentral:rRNA from 1 species
AUACAGAGGGUGCGAGCGUUAAUCGGAAUUACUGGGCGUAAAGCGCGCGUAGGCGGCUACUUAAGUCAGAUGUGAAAUCCCCGGGCUCAACCUGGGAACUGCAUCUGAUACUGGGUAGCUAGAGUUUAGGAGAGGGAAGUAGAAUUUCAGGUGUAGCGGUGAAAUGCAUAGAGAUCUGAAGGAAUACCAGUGGCGAAGGCGGCUUCCUGGCCUAAAACUGACGCUGAGGUGCGAAAGCGUGGGUAGCAAACGGGAUUAGAAACCCUGGUAGUCC